UACGUAGGGGGCAAGUGUUGUCCGGAUUCAUUGGGCGUAAAGAGCGUGUAGGCGGCCAGGUAGGUCGGUUGUGAAAACUGGAGGCUCAACCUUCAGAGGUCGACCGAAACCAUCUGGCUAGAGUCCGGGAGAGGAGAGUGGAAUUCCUGGUGUAGCGGUGAAAUGCGCAGAUAUCAGGAAGAACACCCGUGGCGAAGGCGGCUCUCUGGGACGGUACUGACGCUGAGAGACGAAAGCUAGGGGAGCAAAUGGG
rnacentral:rRNA from 1 species